UACGGGGGGAGCAAGCGUUGUUCGGAUUUACUGGGCGUAAAGGGCGCGUAGGCGGUCAGUGCAAGUCAGUUGUGAAAUCUCCGGGCUUAACUCGGAAAGGUCAACUGAUACUGCUCGACUAGAGUGCGGAAGGGGCAACUGGAAUUCUUGGUGUAGCGGUGAAAUGCGUAGAUAUCGAGAGGAACACCUGCGGCGAAGGCGGGUUGCUGGGCUGACACUGACGCUGAGGCGCGAAAGCUAGGGGAGCGAACGGG
rnacentral:rRNA from 1 species